rnacentral:rRNA from 1 species
UACGGGGGGGGCAAGCGUUGUUCGGAAUUACUGGGCGUAAAGGGCGCGUAGGUGGCCAACUAAGUCACACGUGAAAUCCCUCGGCUUAACCGGGGAACUGCGUCUGAUACUGGAUGGCUUGAGUUUGGGAGAGGGACGCGGAAUUCCAGGUGUAGCGGUGAAAUGCGUAGAUAUCUGGAGGAACACCGGUGGCGAAGGCGGCGUCCUGGACCAAUACUGACACUGAGUGAGCGAAAGCCAGGGGAGCAAACGGG